rnacentral:rRNA from 1 species
GACGAACGCUGGCGGCGUGCUUAACACAUGCAAGUCGAACGGAAAGGCCCUGCUUUUGUGGGGUGCUCGAGUGGCGAACGGGUGAGUAACACGUGAGUAACCUGCCCUUGACUUUGGGAUAACUUCAGGAAACUGGGGCUAAUACCGGAUAGGAGCUCCUGCUGCAUGGUGGGGGUUGGAAAGUUUCGGCGGUUGGGGAUGGACUCGCGGCUUAUCAGCUUGUUGGUGGGGUAGUGGCUUACCAAGGCUUUGACGGGUAGCCGGCCUGAGAGGGUGACCGGCCACAUUGGGACUGAGAUACGGACCAGACUGCUACGGGAGGCAGCAGUGGGGAAUAUUGCACAAUGGGCGGAAGCCUGAUGCAGCAACGCCGCGUGCGGGAUGACGGCCUUCGGGUUGUAAACCGCUUUAGCCUGUGACGAAGCGUGAGUGACGGUAAUGGGUAAAGAAGCACCGGCUAACUACGUG